rnacentral:rRNA from 1 species
AGUCGAGCGGGGAAAGGUAGCUUGCUACCUGACCUAGCGGCGGACGGGUGAGCUAUGCUUAGGAAUCUGCCUAUUAGUGGGGGACAACAUUCCGAAAGGAAUGCUAAUACCGCAUACGCCCUACGGGGGAAAGCAGGGGAUCUUCGGACCUUGCGCUAAUAGAUGAGCCUAAGUCAGAUUAGCUAGUUGGUGGGGUAAAGGCCUACCAAGGCGACGAUCUGUAGCGGGUCUGAGAGGAUGAUCCGCCACACUGGGACUGAGACACGGCCCAGACUCCUACGGGAGGCAGCAGUGGGGAAUAUUGGACAAUGGGCGAAAGCCUGAUCCAGCCAUGCCGCGUGUGUGAAGAAGGCCUUUUGGUUGUAAAGCACUUUAAGCGAGGAGGAGGCUACUUAGAUUAAUACUCUAGGAUAGUGGACGUUACUCGCAGAAUAAGCACCGGCUAACUCUGUGCCAGCAGCCGCGGUAAUACAGAGGGUGCGAGCGUUAAUCGGAUUUACUGGGCGUAAAGCGUGCGUAGGCGGCUUCUUAAGUCGGAUGUGAAAUCCCUGAGCUUAACUUAGGAAUUGCAUUCGAUACUGGGAAGCUAGAGUAUGGGAGAGGAUUGUAGAAUUCCAUGUGUAGCGGUGAAAUGCGUAUAGAUCUGGAGGAAUACCGAUGGCGAGCAGCCAUCUGGCCUAAUACUGACGCUGAGUACCCAAACAUGGGAGCAAACAGAUUAGAUACCUGGUAGUCAUGCGUAAACAUGUCUACUAGCCGUUGGGGCCUUGAGCUUUACUGGCGCAGCUACCCAUAAGUAGACCGCCUGGGGAGUACG